UGCUGUUCCGAUCUGCCUAAUGUUAAAAACGGAAGAGAUUCUGGAGGAAUCAUAGUUUGGCUCAAAGACCAUCUGUGGCAGUAUAUUAAGCCUGUGAAAAAGGGAAAAACACAUAUUUGGAUAAAACUUAAAAAAGAGAUUUUGUGUUUAGAUGAGGACCUGUACCUGUGUGCCACAUAUAUCCCCCCAUAUGAGUCGCCUUAUUAUAACGAAGACAUCUUCUCAACCCUACAAUCAGAGAUCAAUUACUUCCAGUCUAUAGGUUCAGUUCUAUUAAUGGGGGAUCUGAAUGCCAG